CAUAAACACCAUCACUUAUAGCUGUGCCUCAAGGGCCUGAGGAUGAUGACACAUCCUCAGCCAGGCCCCAGAGCAGUGGGCUUUGGAUAUAACUGUCUGUGAACAGCUGCUCUAAGUGGAACAGCACACAGGGACUUCUGUCAUUGCAAAGAUCGCAGGUGAUUCUGUAGUUAGCUCUUUCUGAGCUGUUAGCCUUCAGACCCAAGAAGCAUUUCCUAAGGAACCAUAUUUUACAAAGAGAGAUGAAACUCCAGAAUUCAGAAAAGGAUUUUCUAUGCCCACCUCUUCAGCCAAGAACUGAGAAAGACCCUUGGGAACCUGAGUCAUCCAAGGACACCUCUCCUAGAGAGGAAGAGGGUCUGAAGACAACAUUCAUCAUGGCUCUAAGGCAAAAGACAAGCAGGGAGAAAUCCUUCUUGUUUCUGGCAAGGCUUUAAAGGAAAAGUACUGAACUUUUAAACAUUUUCCUGAUUUGGUCAUUCAGAACUGAGGAAGUUGUGAGCUGAAAUUAAAAGUGGACUUGAAAAUC